CUGUUCUUGUUACAGUGAAUGGAUCUCAUGAGAUCUGAUGGUUUUAAAAACAGGAGUCUCCCUGCACAAGCUCCCUCUUUGCUUGCCGCCAUCCGUGUAAGAUGUGACUUGGUCCUCCUCAACUUCUGCCAUGAUUGUGAGGCCUCCCAAACCACAUGGAACUAUAAGAACAAUGAAGCACAGAGAGAUUAUGUUAACUUGUCCAGUGCCAAAGAGCUAUUAAGUGGCAGAGCUGGGAUUUAUUGCCACUGCACUGUUGCCUCUUCUGUUAGGAGCUCUUUGCUGUGCUGAGAUUGCAGUAUUUAAAGAUAGAGGACUCAUGUGACUCAACAGGACCCACUUGGAUAACUUCCGUAUUUUAAGGUCAACUGUACCAUAUAAAAAAAUCUAAUCACAAGAGCAGAAUCCACGAUAUUCAUGGUCAGUAAAGCAGGCAGUUCAAAUUCUAAGAAUAUAUGCAUUUUCUGUGAAACCCAAUAAGGUUAUUUUCUUUUAGAAUAAAAGAAAUAUAGCUCUUAAGCAAUACACCAAUAAUUGUUUAAUUUAAUAAGUUUCAAUUCAGAAAUAUGUAUUUCUGACUAAUUUUCUAACAUUAGAACAUACCACCAACCCUCUUCACUCUUACCCUGCAAAAAUCCACUGAAAGACUGCCUGGGUGAAGCAAAUCUGAAUUGGCAUUCAAAAUAACUGAUUUUUGCAGAGUGAUGGAUGACAAUUUUCAAGUAGUUACUAUGCUCUGGAUAAUGUUCUAGAUAAUGAACAUGCAUCCAAUAAUUUAAAUCACACAACCACCUGUGGAGUGGUUGCCCAUUUGAGAAGGAAGAAACCUGAACUAGAUAUAUUAAAUAAAUUGCUCAACAUCAGAGCUCGUAAGUAGCUGAGUCAAAUGAAAACCAAGUCUUACCAAUUAGUCUGUGUUGUUGUUAUUUUAAACUGCCUGAAUCAGCUAACUAGGGUUUAUAUUUCUGAGCUACCCCCUCGCCCCCAAUUAUUCUUGCUUCUGUGAACUUUCUUCUUAACCAUGGCAAAUUAUACCCACUUUAAGCUUUUCAUGAUGUCGCAGGGACUUCUUUAUGAAUUAAAUUACUUUAAUGCCAAUAUUGGUGAGAUUAUGUGUGAUAUUAGAUAACUACUUUUAUUACUCAUUCUUUUUUUCUUUCACCAAUGUUUGUA